rnacentral:rRNA from 1 species
GAACGCUAGCGGGAUGCCUUACACAUGCAAGUCGAACGGCAGCGGGAAAGUAGCUUGCUACUUUUGCCGGCGAGUGGCGAACGGGUGAGUAAUGUAUCGGAACGUGCCCAGUAGCGGGGGAUAACUACGCGAAAGCGUGGCUAAUACCGCAUACGNCCUACGGGGGAAAGGGGGGGAUCUUAGGACCUCUCACUAUUGGAGCGGCCGAUAUCGGAUUAGCUAGUUGGUGGGGUAAAGGCCUACCAAGGCGACGAUCCGUAGCUGGUUUGAGAGGACGACCAGCCACACUGGGACUGAGACACGGCCCAGACUCCUACGGGAGGCAGCAGUGGGGAAUUUUGGACAAUGGGGGAAACCCUGAUCCAGCCAUCCCGCGUGUGCGAUGAAGGCUUCGGGUUGUAAAGCACUUUUGUCAGGGAAGAAAAGGUUUCGGAUAAUACCCGG